UUUCUUAUCUAGGGUUUCGAAUUAAACCCCCAAAUUUAAACUCUCAAUUUCCUUCAAAUCCUCUCACAAAGCGUUCUCAAAUCCUUCAAUCGGAUCGCCACUGUCCGCGCGUAAUCCAAACGCAGGUAAAUCCACCUCCAAUUUCAUCAAUUAAUUAAUUUGUCACCAAUUGUUCUUCAAAUCGAGCAGUCGUCGUAGCCUGUGCCGUCGGCGAAUCUUCGACAGGGAUCGGAUCCAUCUUUGCCGAUGAAAAUCCGAUGAGACAAGUGGUGUCUGAUGGUCUACGGGAAGUUGAGACCGCUCUACGUUGAUGGUUAUGUGCUCCUUGAUCGUUCUUUCUUACUUACAAUAUUUGUAUUUCUUAUCUUCUUUCAUCUUUUGUUUAGGUUUCAAUUCGAUGAAAAUCCAAUUUUAUCUGAAUUAUUAUUUAGGUUUCAAUUCGAUAGAUAUAUAAUUUGAUAUAUCAUUUAUUCUAUAUGAACAAACGUAAAUAUCAUUAUGUGAACGACAGUGUCCUAGAAGCAGUAAUUUUGAAUUUGUAUCGGUCUCUGACGCCUUCUAAUGUGUUUCGUGAUUUUCCAAAUCCGAGACGAGAUAGAAAAAACAAUGUGUGACUAUAUUCAUGUCCAUCAUCGUUGAAGUAACGAAAUCAGAACUGAGGUGAGCGAUUUGACGCGCUUUCAAAUGGUGCAUAUUUAAAGGUGCCUGGUGGGGAAUCUUCUGUUUUAUAGCUGCAUUGUUGACUCUUGCAGUUGUUGGUUCGGUUGCGCCUAGGCGGCUAGUUUUUUUUGGGGUAUGACCUACUUCUGUAUGACUUGAAAAGAUGACUAAAAGAACAAUUGAACUCCAAUCACUAGGUAGUGUGUAAACACAACUAUAGAAGAUGAAAGUGACGAAGCAAAGGCUAUUUUCUUCAACGAAGCAAUGGAACAAAUGCUGGAAAAAUCUUGCUAUGACAUGGUAGUCAAGGAUGGAUACACAGAUCCGGAAAUCAUACCCGCGGAUAUCUAUAACACCAGGGGAAAAAACUGCAGUUUUGGACAUCUCAAUGAAACAAGACAACUCAAUGGUCGUGAACAAAGCCGGAGUACCACCAGCCAUAAUCCCAGCAAACCCAGAUCCUAAAACAACAACUAUCAAAAGAAGAACACCAUAUUCGCCAGCUAUAUAGAUUACACUCAUGCAAAUAUAUCUAAAUUUUAAAUGUAAACAUCCCUUUAUCAUUACACAGACAAUGAAACAACGGGAAAACAAGCAAAAACGUAAAAGCAUAAUGGGGAAGGUAACAUUUUUCCCAAGUCGGGAAACCCCAAGAUGCAUCCUUGCUGAUUUUCCAGGUGAAAAAAACAGCGCCUUCACAAAAGCCAUCUCUUUUGCGCCACAAAAAUAACAAUAACAAAUGCUUUGGCUUCAGCACAAUAUUUUGGCAUCGACAACAAGAUUGGAAAGGCCAAGACAUCAACAUCUGAAUUAAUAUUUUGGCUUCAACAAGGCGACAAAACUAUGAAAGCAACAGGCAAGGACUGCAACUUUAAAAAUCUUAUAAAAAAUAUCUAUAAGCUAUUACCCUUAUGAAAGUUGUAGUAUAAAUCCUAAUGUAACCCAUGACCUCUGUAUGGACAAUUACUCUUAUUUAGGCUGUUAUUUGAAUGUUAAUGCAACCAGUUAUCACCCAAUGUACACGCGCCGCAACGCGCGCGGGCGCAUUUCCUAGUAUAUCUUAAAAAGAAAGGUCCGUGGCUUUUGCCACCAACCAAUCUCUUCAUUGUUUUCAAUAUAUAUGAAAGUUUAGUCAAUAUUUAAACAAA